GUGAUGGCUAAGCCCCUCCCUGGUCAGGGUCAGAUGACCUGGAGGUUGGCGCGCUGACCGAACAAUGCCUAAGUUUGUGACGCAACCCCACCCAGAAGACUAUAAAUAGGGCGGCGCAGUGGGCCAGGGCCAGACCGCUGGACAGAGCCACGAUGGAAGAGGCAAGCUCCCAACAACAAGCUGCAAGCACCAACGAGGACAGGGAGAGGGAGGCCCCCUCAGCCCACGUCCAGGUGCCUCGACAAGGGCCCAAAGGCAGGCAGACGGGGGAAAAGGCCUGGUUGGCACUGAGCACUGAACACAACUGUUCCUUAACGCUGUCUCCACAGUACGAUGAAAAAGGCCUGGUGAUUUGGCAUGCGUUUGCAGGGAUGGGGAUGGAGCAACCCGGAUGGGCUAAGGUAUGUGGGAUGACAGUGCCAUCCCUCUGUACACUCAGAGAAAUGCAUCAUCUUUAGGCCACUGACCUCAUAGUGGUGUGUGUGACGUUCAUUUACGUCGGCGGGUUAUGUGACGUCCCGCUUCACGUUGUGAGCCAUUAAAAGGCCUCAAAAGGACCGAAUCCCUCCCCCUUACUCAGAGUGAGUGAGGACACCAAGGAGCAAAGGAAUGGUAUUUGUAGGCUACAGACUCAAAGGUUUAGGGCGCUUUCUUUGUCAAGCUAACUUGAGCUGGAACAGUUGGCUAUGAAGGCCAUGGCAGUGGGAGUGGUUUGUCCCUUGUGCAUUGAGGGGAAUGUUACAAUGUAAUUCUUGUACACCAUCAAAGGAAGGGUCUGGCAGUUGGCUUGGAAAUUAAGAAGUCCCUGAGUCUUGGAGUGUCUGAGUUCAGCACCCAGCUCUUGAUCCCGAUUGCAGCUUCCUGCCAAUGCAGACCCUGGGAGUCAGGGCUGAUGACUUAGGAACUGGGGGCCCUUUCCUCCCACAUGGGACGUCUGAACUGAGUCCCCCAGCACAGGCUUUGGCUGCAGCUGGGGACGUUGUGACCAUUUGGGGAGUGAAUCAGCAUAUGGAAAUGCUCUAUCUUCCUCUUUUUCUCUGUCUCAUUCUCUCCUUCUCUCCCUCCCUAAACUAAAUUAAUAAAAAGAAAAAGAAAAAAAAACA
rnacentral:lncRNA from 1 species